AGCGAACGUUAGCGGCGGGCCUAACACAUGCAAGUCGAGCGAGAAAGGGGGCUUCGGCCCCGAGUAAAGCGGCGGACGGGUGAGUAACACGUAGGUAAUCUUCCUUCGAGCGGGGGACAACGGUCCGAAAGGACCGCUAAUACCGCAUACGUUUCUCGGGACCUCGGUCCUGGGAAGGAAAGCUAGGUAGCAAUAUCCGGCACUCGAUGAGGAGCCUGCGUCGCAUCAGCUAGUUGGUGGGGUAAUGGCCCACCAAGGCGAAGACGCGUAGCUGGUCUGAGAGGAUGAUCAGCCACACUGGGACUGAGACACGGCCCAGACUCCUACGGGAGCAGCAGUGGGGAAUAUUGCGCAAUGGGCGAAAGCCUGACGCAGCGACGCCGCGUGGGGGAUGAAGGUCUUCGGAUUGUAAACCCC
rnacentral:rRNA from 1 species